ACUUAAGCAUAUCAAUAAGCGGAGGAAAAGAAACCAACAGGGAUUGCCCUAGUAACGGCGAGUGAAGCGGCAACAGCUCAAAUUUGAAAUCUGGCUCUUUCAGAGUCCGAGUUGUAAUUUGCAGAGGGCGCUUUGGCUUUGGCAGCGGUCCAAGUUCCUUGGAACAGGACGUCACAGAGGGUGAGAAUCCCGUACGUGGUCGCUAGCUAUUGCCGUGUAAAGCCCCUUCGACGAGUCGAGUUGUUUGGGAAUGCAGCUCUAAAUGGGAGGUAAAUUUCUUCUAAAGCUAAAUAUUGGCCAGAGACCGAUAGCGCACAAGUAGAGUGAUCGAAAGAUGAAAAGCACUUUGGAAAGAGAGUCAAACAGCACGUGAAAUUGUUGAAAGGGAAGCGCUUGCAGCCAGACUUGCUUGCAGUUGCUCAUCCGGGCUUUUGCCCGGUGCACUCUUCUGCAGGCAGGCCAGCAUCAGUUUGGGCGGUGGGAUAAAGGUCUCUGUCAUGUACCUCUCUUCGGGGAGGCCUUAUAGGGGAGGCGACAUACCACCAGCCUAGACUGAGGUCCGCGCAUCUGCUAGGAUGCUGGCGUAAUGGCUGUAAGCGGCCCGUCUUGAAACACGGACCAAGGAGUCUAACAUCUAUGCGAGUGUUUGGGUGUCAAGCCCGAGCGCGUAAUGAAAGUGAACGGAGGUGGGAACCCGCAAGGGUGCACCAUCGACCGAUCCUGAAGUUUACGGAAGGAUUUGAGUAAGAGCAUGGCUGUUGGGACCCGAAAGAUGGUGAACUAUGCUUGAAUAGGGUGAAGCCAGAGGAAACUCUGGUGGAGGCUCGCAGCGGUUCUGACGUGCAAAUCGAUCGUCAAAUUUGGGCAUAGGGCGAAAGACUA
rnacentral:rRNA from 1 species